rnacentral:lncRNA from 1 species
UCUUCUUAUGGCAUCCAAAUUGUUCAACUUGGCCAUUAUCUUUAUAACAACAUAAUGAAUUCUUUCUUAUUUUAUAAGCUUUCUUAUUUUCUAGUGCUUCUCUGCACCACAUUCCUAUCAUUCUUCUUGUAAAUUCAAUUCUACUUCCAAGACUAUCUAUUUCAACUCCUUCCUCUUUUCCUAGAGGUAGUAAUUUCUCAUAUUCUUUUAGUAACUUGAUUCCCCAUGGGAAUGGUAACUUGGUAAAAUAAGAC